AUGACUUUGAUCUGCAUCCUCAUCUGGACUCUCCUCUGCUGCUGCUUCACAGAGUCCACAGGCCAGGUCACAGUGACUCAGCCUGGAGCAGUGAGCUCUGCUCUGGGAGGCUCCGUCUCCAUCAGAUGUAGGACCAGUCAGAAUGUUUUCUAUAGCAGCCCAAACCACGCUUUAGCCUGGUACCAACAGAGAGAUGGAGAACCUCCUAAACUCCUCAUUUACUUUGCUAGCACUCGAGAGUCAGGGAUUCCAGAUCGUUUUACAGGCAGUGGAUCAAACUCUGACUUCACUCUGACCAUCAGUGGAGUCCAGACUGAAGAUGCAGCAGUUUACUACUGUCUGAGUUUUCAUGUUAUCAACGGUCAGUAUGUGUUCACUUUUGGUGGAGGAACCAGACUGGAGGUUAACUUGGGUCGAGUCGCCCCCACCCUGACGGUGCUGCCCCCCUCCAGUGAGGAGCUGCAGCAGGGGAAGGCCACGCUCAUGUGCCUGGCCAACAAGGGCUUCCCCUCAGACUGGAGUCUGGCCUGGAAGGUGGACGGCAGCAGCAGCAGCAGCAGCAGCUGGGAGGAGAGCAGGAGCCUCGGGGUGCUGGAGAAGGACGGCCGCUACAGCUGGAGCAGCACCCUGAGGCUCCCUGCAGACCAGUGGAGGAAGGUGGGCUCUGUGACCUGUGAGGCCACCCAGGGCUCCCAGGCUCCGCUCUCAGAGACACUGAGGAGAGACCAGUGUUCCCAGUCCUGACCUGACUCACUGGGACUUUGAUAUUGGCUUUAUUCUGCCACAGCUCUCAGUCUCUCUGUAACGCUUCCUCUCUCUUUUUCCCUCACUUUAUGGCAGCAAAAUAAUUUCAGUUUUGAAGUGUAAUUUCUUUUUGCAUUCAGUAAUGUUUAAAUUCUCAGAAU